GCUUAUAUGAAUGCGAAAUUGGCUGUUUUGCUGCUGUUGGGCGAUUUGCAACUUGAAAUUCUGUAAUGGUUAGUAAUACUUAUAUUUCGAAAAUAUUUUGUAUAUUUGGACAAUUUUGAGUCGAUUUAACCAAGGAUGACGCGGGAUGAACAAAGAUGUAGAAGGAUGAAGAGAAUCCUAUACGUGGGGUGAAAUCCCAAAAAUCUACAUACAGCUAUAGUACAACGGGAAAUAGAAUAUUUAAGUAUUGACUAUUGUAAUUUGUUACCUGCUUUAUCGUUCACAUCAUGGUAUAGUGGCAAACACCGAGGCCAUCAUGGGCGAAAGUUGUGGACCUUCCCCCGGUAUACGUUUUGUACAUUUUUCGUACAUAUUUUUUUUUUAUUUCUUUUUUUGCCAUUAUCUUUCCCGAAAGUCUUCAAAUCGCUCCCCAUAACAGCUAAUACCCAUGUUUUGAUAACAUUUUGUAUAUUUGGACAAUUUUGAGUCGAUUUGACCAACGAUGACGAGGGCAUGAACAACGAUGUAUAGCGAUGAAGAGAAUCUUAUGUAGGGUGAAAUCCAAAAAAUCUACAUACAGCCAUAGUACAACGGGAAAUAGAAUAUUUAAGUAUUGACUAUUGCAUGUAAUUUGUUACCUGUUUGAUCGUUGACAUCAUGGUAUAGUGGUAAACACCGUGGCCAUCAUGAGCGAAAGUUGUGGAGCAGUCCCAGCUAAAAGUCCCGUAACUAAUUUUUUCUUUAUUUCUUUUUGCCAUUAUUUUUUCAAAAUCUCCAAAUCGCUCCACAUAGCAGCUUAAUACUUAUAUUUUGAGAAUAUUUUGUAUAUUUGGACAACUUUGAGUCGAUUUAUUAACCAAGGAUGACGAGGGAUGAACAAAGAUGUAGAAGGAUGAAGAGAAUCCUAUACGUGGGGUGAAAUCCCAAAAAUCUACAUACAGCUAUAGUACAACGGGAAAUAGAAUAUUUAAGUAUUGACUAUUGUAAUUUGUUACCUGUUUCAUCGUUGACAUCAUGGUAUAGUGGUAAACACUGUGGCCAUCACGAGCGAAAGUUGUGGAGCAGUCCCAGCUGAAAGUCUCAUAACUUUUCGUAUAGUUAUUUUUAUUUCUUUUUGCCAUUGUUUUUUCAAAUUCCCAAAUCGCUUCUCAUAACAGCUUAAAUACUUAUAUUUUGAUAAUAUUUUGUAAAUUUACACAAUUUUGAAUCGAUUUAACUGAACGACGCGAUGAAGAGAAUUCUUAUUUGGGGUGAAAUCGAAAUAUACUAUCUACAUUACAGCAGUAAACACAACAUUGGAGUGAUGUAAUUUGUUACCUGUUUCCAUCGUUGAGAUCAUGUUAUGGUGGUAAACACCGAGGCCAUCAUGGGCGAAAGUUGUGGACAUUUCCCCGGUAUAAGUAUUGUACAUUUUUCGUACAUAAUUUUUUUUUAUUUCUUUUUUGCCAUUAUCUUUCCCGAA